rnacentral:lncRNA from 1 species
GCCAUGCCAGGCUUGGGCCUCCCCACACCCUGCCAGGUCAGCCCAAGACUACCCCGUCGGUCAUUCUGUUCCUGCCGUCCUGUGAGGAGCCCCAAGCCAACAAGGCCACACUGGUGUGUCUCAUGAAUAACUUUAUCCGGGAAUCUUGAUGGUGACCUGGAAGGCAGAUGGUACCCUCAUCACCCAGAGCGUGGAGAAGACCACGCCCUCCAAACAGAGCAACAACAAGUACGUGGCCAGCAGCUACCUGAGCCUGACGCCCGAGCAGUGGAGGUCCCGCAGAAGCUACAGCUGCCAGGUUAUGCAAGAAGGGAGCACCGUGGAGAAGUCAGUGGCCCCUGCAGAAUGUUCAUAGGUUCCAGCCCCCACCCCACCCACAGGGGCCUGGAGCUGCAGGAUCCCAGGGGAGGGGUCUCUCUCUGCAUCCCAAGCCAUUCAGCCCUUCUCGCUGUACCCAG